rnacentral:lncRNA from 1 species
AUUUUGUUGAAAGCAACAAUAUCACAGCUUUGAACAUACUCAUUGAUAGGUUCAACCGUAAAAUAAUUCUCAACUAGAUCAUCCACAGAGACCAAGUCAUCCACAAUGGUAAGCAUAAUUUGAAGCUUCUUAAUACCAUAUCCAACAGGAACAAGUUUAGCUGUAGAUAAAACAACAUUGUGAUCGUCAAUAAACACCAAUGAUUUAAAAGCUUUUCAGCUUUACAAGACAACCUCGUAGAUAAUAUUCAGGUUAGAUAAAGGGGACUGAUGGACUAGGACACAAGAGCGUCCGAGAAAGAAAGGCAAAAAGAUACCUGAAUGAUGAAAAAGCAAUUGUCUCACUUCCAGUAAAAAUAAAAUUCAACUCGAUAGAACAAAGAUGAACGAACAGAAGCUUACAUGCUCCAUAAGUCAAUCCUUCCAUCUGAACACUUCGAACAGCUUCUUCAAGCUUUUUCAUAUCGGUCUCAUCAUCCCAUGGCUUGACAUCCAAGAGAACUGAUGACUUACCGG